GACGAACGCUGGCGGCGUGCUUAACAUAUGCAAUUCGAACGAUGAAGCCGGAGCUUGCUCCGGUGGAUUAGUGGCGAACGGGUGAGUAACACGUGAGCAACCUGCCCUUGACUCUGGGAUAACUGCGGGAAACUGUAGCUAAUACCGGAUACGACACCUUGGGGCAUCCCAGGGUGUGGAAAGAAUUUCGGUCAAGGAUGAGCUCGCGGCCUAUCAGCUAGUUGGUGAGGUAAUGGCUCACCAAGGCGACGACGGGUAGCCGGCCUGAGAGGGUGACCGGCCACACUGGAACUGAGACACGGUCUAGACUCCUACGGGAGGCAGCAGUGGGGAAUAUUGCACAAUGGGCGAAAGCCUGAUGCAGCAACGCCGCGUGAGGGAUGAAGGCCUUCGGGUUGUAAACCUCUUUUAGCAGGGAAGAAGCGAAAGUGACGGUACCUGCAGAAAAAGCACCGGCUAACUACGUGCCAGCCGCCGCCGUAA
rnacentral:rRNA from 1 species